rfam:Ornithorhynchus anatinus chromosome 12, whole genome shotgun sequence.
AGCAGCGUGGCUCAGUGGAACGAGCACGGGCUUUGGGAGUCAGAGGUCACGGGUUCGAGUCCCGGCUCUGCCA